AUCCAGAUAGUUUAUUAAGAAUAAUAAUUUGUGGUGUUAUUGGUGUAGUUUUACUUUGGAUU
rnacentral:tRNA from 2 species